GUGUGUACCUGUCCAUCAUAGGUCACAGGUGUGUGUGUGUACCUGUCCAUCAUAGGUCACAGGUGUGUGUGUGUGUACCUGUCCAUAAUAGGCCAAAGGUGUGUGUGUGUACCUGUCCAUCAUAGGUCACAGGUGUGUGUGUGUACCUGUCCAUCAUAGGUCACAGGUGUGUGUGUGUGUACCUGUCCAUAAUAGGCCAAAGGUGUGUGUGUGUACCUGUCCAUCAUAGGUCACAGGUGUGUGUGUGUACCUGUCCAUCAUAGGUCACAGGUGUGUGUGUGUACCUGUCCAUCAUAGGUCACAGGUGUGUGUGUGUGUACCUGUCCAUCAUAGGUCACAGGUGUGUGUGUGUACCUGUCCAUCAUAGGUCACAGGUGUGUGUGUGUGUACCUGUCCAUCAUAGGUCACAGGUGUGUGUGUGUACCUGUCCAUCAUAGGUCACAGGUGUGUGUGUGUGUGUACCUGUCCAUCAUAGGUCACAGGUGUGUGUGUGUGUACCUGUCCAUAAUAGGCCAAAGGUGUGUGUGUGUACCUGUCCAUAAUAGGCCAAAGGUGUGUGUGUGUGUACCUGUCCAUCAUAGGUCACAGGUGUGUGUGUGUGUACCUGUCCAUCAUAGGUCACAGGUGUGUGUGUGUGUACCUGUCCAUCAUAGGUCACAGGUGUGUGUGUGUACCUGUCCAUCAUAGGUCACAGGUGUGUGUGUGUACCUGUCCAUCAUAGGUCACAGGUGUGUGUGUGUGUGUACCUGUCCAUCAUAGGUCACAGGUGUGUGUGUGUGUACCUGUCCAUCAUAGGUCACAGGUGUGUGUGU